rnacentral:rRNA from 1 species
GACGAACGCUGGCGGCGUGCCUAAUACAUGCAAGUAGGACGCAGUUGCGCACGGGUGAGUAACGCGUAGGUAUCUACCUCUUAGAGGGGGAUAACUAUUGGAAACGAUAGCUAAUACCGCAUACUAGUAGAUGGACCUGCGUUGUAUUAGCUAGUAGGUAGGGUAAUGGACUACCUAGGCAACGAUACAUCGCCGACCUGGGAUGGGGAGCGGCCAAACCGGGACUGAGACAAGGGCCAAACCCCUUAGGGAGGCAGCAGUAGGGAAGCUUCGGCAAUGGGGGGAAACCUGACCGGGCAACGGCGAGGGGGGGAAGAAGGUUUUCGGAUCGUAAAGCUCCGUUGUUAAGGAAGCGGUACUUAACCAGAAAGGGACGGCUAACUACGUGCCAGCAGCCGCGGUAAUAC